AGAGCCUUUCCAGCACCAGGACCCUGACUCCGUUAGACCUAAAUGGAACAGAACCUUAAUUAAUGUCAUUAGUAACACCUGUGUUUCCCUGCUAUUUCAUGGUCAAAAUGACAGCGGUGAAAAAAUUCCAUACAUCAGUUGUUGACUAUAAUUGAUUUUUUCUUUUCUUAUGGUCCCUCACAUGAAAAGUACUUAGUAUAUGAGGAGAAGUUAAUGGAGCUGCAUCAGAGAUGCCUGCUGUGCACCUGGAGCCGAAGAGCCCACAGUCGGACCUGGGCUCACUGCUUGUCCUCACUGCAGCUCCACCUGUAAGAGGUGCAGCCAACGUCGUGUGUCUGACGUCCCAGCAGGUCAUCUCCACAUCACUGCAGCAGCUCUGCUCACAGAUCUCCAAAGGGAUAUUGGAAAUGACUUUCCACAAGGCAAAUGUGCUCCCGACGAUCAAAGACAAGAUCGGGACGAUGUCCUCGAAGACACCAUAAAUACUGGAGGUGAUGCUUUUGGUGGCGUGUGCAUGCUGACUCACCAGGUAGAGUCUGUGUGCUUUCCUCAGCAGCAGGAUGAACCAGUAGAUCUGUGGGGCCAGGAUGGCCAGGUUGCCCACGUUGCAGUGGAGCGGCAGAUGGAAGGCCACUCUGUGCAGGGGAAUCCCAUACUGCUGUCCGUACAUCCAGUACAUGAAGGGGAAGAGAAGGAUGCGACAAGUGAAGAAACUCACCAGAACCAUGACACCGUUGAUCCUGUGGAGCCUGCUGUUGUCGAGGCCCAACUGGGCGUCAAAGAGCCGGAAAUGGAAGAGGAAAAUGAGAUGACACUUUACACCUGCACUAGACAUGGCUUAUCUAAAUGUUAGAAGUGGAUUAUCAGUGCUACUUUGGGCUGCCUAGUGUGUUUCAGAGUUCAUUUACAAACCGAUCAGUCUCCUAGUGAGCAACACGAUAUUUCAGUAUAAACUCAAUUUUGAGAAAGUUAGCUUUCCCUCUUGGAUCCCAUGGAUGUCUUUUUGAUAUAAAGUGAUCAAAGGCUGGCCAGGUUGUUAAACACAAACGUGCCACGUGUAGUUUACUGACACAUUAAAUUCCGGGUUUUGGAGUUUACACUUUUCACUACUGCUGCCAACUUGCAAAAUUGCAUAAUAUACCUCAAAUAAUCUUUGUGGAGAAACUGGGGCACUUCACUUUACAAUACAAGAAUAUGAGAUAUGUACACAGAAGAGAGUAAAUGGGAGCUCACUGCUGUAUUAAAUCACAUGUCAAACUCGAGGCCGAUGACUAUGACUUUAAAUACUUUGCUAUAUUUUAACCAAAUGACUCAUGUGGUUUGACAGACAAAUACUGGUUUUAUGUCUAGUUGGAUUUGCAUGCCCUUGGUGUGCAUGUAUGAGUAAAAACAUAUUACUGUAGAUUUCUCAUACGCAAAAUAUCUGGUGUUGGUUAUUUUUGAUAAUUUGUCAUUUGAAAGGAUUCUGGGUAGGUUUUCGGAUGCACUAUGCCAGGAAAAAAAAAAAUCAUGCAGUGGACUCCUUUCCUGUCAUUUUCCACUCUGAUCUAAGACAACAACAGCGAGGGGUGUGUUAACCUUCAGUAACCUCCCGUGGUGGUGAUAGUGUUAACCAGUCGCUACACAGUGUACAAGGGUCACUGUGGGGAGAAAAAUAACAGGAAAUAAACUCAGGAUUUUCAAGGUUACAGUUGUAAAUUUACGAGAAAAAAAAUGAUUCUCUAAAAUUAAAGUGGUCAAUUGAUGAGAAAAAAAACUCAAAUUUAUGAAAAGAAAACUUUAAUUCUGAGAUUAAGUCAACUUUACAAGAAAAAAAAUCCUAAAUUUACAACUUUAAUCUCAGCUCUGUAGUUUUUUUUUCCCACAGUGACCAUGGUGAGCAGUUGUACUAAUCAUUUGACUUUAGAUUUCUUUGUUUUUUUUUAGAAAGACAUUUUUGGGAAGGAAUGUUUCAUCUAAAGGUUUUAUUUGUGGAUCAAUCAUUUUUUACACUGGCCAUAGCUUGAUUAACAGAAUGACCACUUUGGGUCUGAGGUACUCAAUAAAAAUCACUGUUCAGCACUCG